UUGGAGGGCAAGUCUGGUGCCAGCAGCCGCGGUAAUUCCAGCUCCAAUAGCGUAUAUUAAAGUUGUUGCAGUUAAAAAGCUCGUAGUUGAACUUCGGGGUUUACUCAUUGGUCAGGCUUAGGUGUCUGCACUGGUGAGAUGGAUCUCUACCUUCUGAGGAACUUUCAUGCCAUUUGUUUGGUGUGAUGGGAAAUCAGGGCUGUUACUUUGAAAAAAUUAGAGUGUUUAAAGCAGACUAUCGUCUGAAUACAUUAGCAUGGAAUAAGGAAAUAGGACGGACUGAUUCUAUUUCGUUGGUUUCUAGGAUCACCGUAAUGAUUAAUAGGGAUAGUUGGGGGCGUUAGUAUUCAAUUGUCAGAGGUGAAAUUCUUGGAUUUAUUGAAGACUAACUAUUGCGAAAGCAUUUGCCAAGGAUGUUUUCAUUAAUCAAGAACGAAAGUUAGGGGAUCGAAGACGAUCAGAUACCGUCGUAGUCUUAACCAUAAACUAUGCCGACUAGGAAUCGGGCGUCGUUAUUUUAAUGACUCGUUCGGCGCCUUACGGGAAAC
rnacentral:rRNA from 1 species